GUGGGGAAUCUUAGACAAUGGGGGAAACCCUGAUCUAGCCAUGCCGCGUGAGCGAUGAAGGCCUUAGGGUUGUAAAGCUCUUUCAGUAGGGAAGAUAAUGACGGUACCUACAGAAGAAGCCCCGGCUAACUUCGUGCCAGCAGCCGCGGUAAUACGAAGGGGGCUAGCGUUGUUCGGAUUUACUGGGCGUAAAGCGCACGUAGGCGGAUUGGUCAGUUAGAGGUGAAAUCCUGGAGCUCAACUCCAGAACUGCCUUUAAUACUGCCAGUCUAGAGUCCAGAAGAGGUGAGUGGAACUCCUAGUGUAGAGGUGGAAUUCGUAGAUAUUAGGAAGAACACCAGUGGCGAAGGCGGCUCACUGGUCUGGUACUGACGCUGAGGUGCGAAAGCGUGGGGAGCAAACAGGAUUAGAUACCCCGGUAGUCC
rnacentral:rRNA from 1 species